rnacentral:rRNA from 1 species
CCUACGGGUGGUAGCAGUGAGGAAUAUUGGUCAAUGGGCGAGAGCCUGAACCAGCCAAGUCGCGUGAGGGAGUACUGCCCUAUGGGUUGUAAACCUCUUUUGUCGGGGAGCAAAAGCCGGACGUGUCCGGCUGUGAGAGUACCCGAAGAAAAAGCAUCGGCUAACUCCGUGCCAGCAGCCGCGGUAAUACGGAGGAUGCGAGCGUUAUCCGGAUUUAUUGGGUUUAAAGGGUGCGUAGGCGGACUGGAAAGUCAGCGGUAAAAUCGAGAGGCUCAACCUCUUUCCGCCGUUGAAACUGUCGGUCUUGAGUGGGCGAGAAGUAUGCGGAAUGCGUGGUGUAGCGGUGAAAUGCAUAGAUAUCACGCAGAACUCCGAUUGCGAAGGCAGCAUACCGGCGCCCGACUGACGCUGAGGCACGAAAGCGUGGGUAUCGAACAGGAUUAGAUACCCGGGUAGUC